rnacentral:rRNA from 1 species
CCCUUAGAUGUUCUGGGCCGCACGCGCGCUACACUGAUGCAUUCAACAAGUUUUACCUUGGCCGAGAGGCCUGGGAAAUCUUUCAAAUAUGUAUCGUGAUAGGGAUAGAUUAUUGCAAUUAUUAAUCUUGAACGAGGAGUUCCUAGUAAAUGCAGAUCAUCAUUCUGCGUUGAUUACGUCCCUGCCCUUUGUACACACCGCCCGUCGCACCUACCGAUUGAAUGAUCCGGUGAAGCCUCGGGAUUGUGCCCAGAGAACUUUAUUGUGAUUUGGGUGUGAGAACUUGUCUAAACCUUAUCAUUUAGAGGAAGGUGAAGUCGUAACA